GUUCUUUUGUUUAUAUAAAAGAUCUGACCUGCCCAAUGAUUUGAGUUUUAAUGGCUGCAGUAUUUUGACUGUACAAAGGUAGCAUAAUCACUUGUCCUUUAAUUGAGGUCUAGAAUGAAUGGUUUGAUGAAAAAUAUACUUUCUUUGUUUUAUAUAUAAAAUUUAAUUUUUUAGUCAAAAAGCUAAAAUUUAGUUGUAGGACGAGAAGACCCUAUAGAGCUUUAUUUUUGUCUUUAUAUUUUUAUUUUAGGAAAUAUUUUAAUUAUAUUUGGUAUAAAUUUUGUUGGGGUGACAGAAAAAAAUAAAUAACUUUUGUCUAUUUUUAUCAUUUUAAGUGAAUUUUUGAUCCUUUUAUUAAGGAUUAUAAGACUAAGUUACCUUAGGGAUAACAGCGUAAUUAUUUUGGAGAGUUCAUAUCGAUAAAAUAGUUUGCGACCUCGAUGUUGGAUUAAAGUAAGGUAUGGGGGUAGAAAAUCAUAUUUUAGGUCUGUUCGACCUUUAAACUUUUACA
rnacentral:rRNA from 1 species